rnacentral:rRNA from 1 species
CCUACGGGGGGCAGCAGUGGGGAAUAUUGCACAAUGGGCGAAACCCUGAUGCAGCGACGCCGCGUGAGUGAAGAAGUAAUUCGUUAUGUAAAGCCCUAUCAGCAGGGAAGAAAAUGACGGUACCUGAGUAAGAAGCCCCGGCUAACUACGUGCCAGCAGCCGUGGGAAUACGUAGGGGGCAAGCGUUAUCCGGAUUUACUGGGCGUAAAGGGAGCGUAGACGGCAGUGCAAGUCUGGAGUGAAAGGCGGGGGCUCAACCCCCGGACUGCUCUGGAAACUGGACGGCUGGAGUGCAGGAGAGGUAAGUGGAAUGCCUGGUGUAGCGGUGAAAUGCAUAGAUAUUAGGAAGAACACCAGUGGCGAAGGCGGCUUACUGGACUGUAACUGACGUUGAGGCUCGAAAGCGUGGGGAGCGAACAGGAUUAGAUACCCUUGUAGUC